AACGAACGCUGGCGGCAUGCCUAACACAUGCAAGUCGAACGAUCCCUUCGGGGAUAGUGGCGCACGGGUGCGUAACGCGUGGGAACCUGCCCUUAGGUUCGGAAUAACUCAGAGAAAUUUGAGCUAAUACCGGAUAAUGUCUUCGGACCAAAGAUUUAUCGCCUUUGGAUGGGCCCGCGUUGGAUUAGCUAGUUGGUGGGGUAAAGGCCUACCAAGGCGACGAUCCAUAGCUGGUCUGAGAGGAUGAUCAGCCACACUGGGACUGAGACACGGCCCAGACUCCUACGGGAGGCAGCAGUGGGGAAUAUUGGGCAAUGGGCGAAAGCCUGAUCCAGCAAUGCCGCGUGAGUGAUGAAGGCCUUAGGGUUGUAAAGCUCUUUUACCCGGGAUGAUAAUGACAGUACCGGGAGAAUAAGCCCCGGCUAACUCCGUG
rnacentral:rRNA from 1 species